rnacentral:rRNA from 1 species
UACGUAGGGUGCGAGCGUUGUCCGGAAUUAUUGGGCGUAAAGAGCUCGUAGGCGGUGUGUCACGUCGGCCGUGAAAACCUGCAGCUUAACUGUGGGCGUGCGGUCGAUACGGGCAUCACUGGAGUUCGGCAGGGGAGACUGGAAUUCCUGGUGUAGCGGUGGAAUGCGCAGAUAUCAGGAGGAACACCGGUGGCGAAGGCGGGUCUCUGGGCAGUAACUGACGCUGAGGAACGAAAGCGUGGGGAGCGAACAGG